GGGUGCUCUGUCCUAAUGCAAAGUGACAUUAGAGGGACGCUAAGCUUCCUGAAAGAGAGUCCCUGCUCUUUAGACAAUUCGUGGAGAACAAGCAAAAAAAAGUCUGUGUUAAGGACUAGGGACUCUGUAACUGGGAUAAAGCUAGCCUGGGGCUUACAGACUAAUGGGAACCAAAAGCUCCUCCUUGUCAAGGGGAUGAGGAGAGGGUGGGGGUCUCUGCCUAUAACCGCUUCACUGUUUCUCUCAUCACAGAUGGGGCCUGUGAUGAUUACACAGACGGCCGAGUGUGCAAAAUUCGUUUUGAUGCUAACGGAGCCACAGGGUCAGGGGGUCGGGACCCCACCCAGGUGAAGCUGCUGCCCGGCCGGCACAUGCUGUUCCCGCCUCUUGAGAGAGUCCACUAUUUACAGGUCCCUUUGUCCCGCCGACUGUCCCAUGAUGAGACCAACAUCUUUUCUACUCCCCGGGCACCAGGCUCCUUCCUGCACAAAUGGUCAUCAUCGGACGACAUCCGUGUCCUCCCAGCCCAGAGCCGAGCCCUCGGGGGCCCUCCUGAAUACCUGGGACAGAGACACAGGCUGGGGGAUGAAGAGGAUGAGGAAGAGGCUGAGGGCGGGGGCUUAGCCAGCCUUCGCCAGUUCCUAGAAAGUGGGGUUCUGGGGUCGGGUGGGGGACCCCCACGAGGUCCUGGUUUCUUCCGGGAGGAGAUCACCACCUUCAUCGAUGAAACACCUUUGCCUUCUCCAACGGCCUCACCAGGACCCUCUCCUCGUAGGCCCAGGCCACUGGGUUUUUCACCUCGACGCCUCUCCCUUGGGUCUCCUGAUAGCCGACCUGUUGGACUUCCUUUGGGGCUAAGUGCAGGGAGACGCUGUUCUCUGACAGGCAGCGAGGGGAGUUCAAGGGCUUGGGGAAGACCCUGGGGCCCAGGCAACCCCAUCUUCUCCCAGCUGACCCUGUGAGGCCACACGGGCCGCUUAAUUCAGAGGAGGGGGCGUGGGUGCUCACUCCUCAUUCUGGCCCUGAGCCUAUGGCAGCUGCCUCCGGGGAGCUGGUCGCUAGAUCUGGGUUCCAGCUCUCUCCCAUCCAAGUGACCAGACACCCUCCUCACCCAUCUUCACCCUAGCAAAACGUAUUAAAGGCUGAAGUAUUGCCAUGGAACCCUGGUUUCCAGCGUCGUCGCAGUGGCCAAGGGUAUGGUCGGUGGCUUGGGGGAGGGGGAGUGGCUCAUAGAAGACAAAAUGGAAACAGGACAGGGAAAAGAGUUACAGAAAGAGACCAUCCGACAGACAGACAGGAGAAACGGGCAUAUAUAUGCUGGGGUGGGGCACUGGACACUUGAAUGUGAUAGUUUGAAGGAUCUUUGUUCAAAUUAGAAGUAUUCAACCCUCACUUCCCCUAAAUGUGCCCAGGCGCUCACUUUCUGGGUGAAAAGUUUGGGGGCCAGAAUUUUGGAGUCCCAAGCCCGGAGUCACCUUCUUUCACGCUGCCUUCCAAAGAUCCUUCUCUUUGAACCCGGUGGGUUGGCAGAAACCUGGGUAGAUGCGUGUGUGAGGGGCGUCCGCAAUCUUUCCCAGGGCCCCAGGAUAGAUGGGAACGAAAUUACCCCCACAGCACAGGCCUUCCAGAUCCCCCAUUUCACCCUCCUUUCUCCGUUUCCCUUUCUUACCCACACUAGACCCGCGUGUCCCUCGGAAUUCUCUCUCGGUCUCACUUUGGUUUUCCCCGCGGCAGGCCUAAGCCCAGCAGCCUUCUUAGGCUUCGCUUACUCCUUCUCUCUUCCUCUCCCUCCUCCUCUCCAUCUUUCCUUCCUUCUCCUCCCCCUACCCCCCCCUUCUCCCUCCCUCCCGGCUUGGCAUUUCCCUUCGGCAGUGGGCCGGCGGCUCUGGGCACCAUGCUCCGGCUCCUGCGGUUGCUGCUGCUCUUGC
ensembl:lincRNA